CCUUCGCGCUUGCCACCCAUAUUUGCGUCGCGCAAUCCCUCUCCGUCACUACUACAACCGGUGCGGCGCUCCCUGUCCUUCUCUGUCGCUACGUGGUCUCGUCUCGCUUGUGCGCACAGGCGCGCGUGUGCGCGCUUAUUUUCUUUCCAUUUCGUAGUGCUAUUCUUCUCCGCGCCACCGGCACGUUAGUGCUGCUGCUACCAACUGGCGUAUUGCACAGUGGUGGCUCUGGUGUGUCUGCGUGUAUGGACGAGGGAGGGUGUGCCAGCCUCUUUAAAAAGAAGCACCGCCUUCCUAUUCCCAUCGGGUGUGUUAGCAUUUGUGUGUUGUUCUACUUCGCUCACAGAUGAACGGCACACAGUCGCUGAAGGUCGAGCGAUUCGACACCUCCUACAAGGAUAGCGACCUGCUCUCGUCCGCCACAGACAGUAUCGACCUCGAUCACAAGGAUGAGCAUCAGGUAACGGAUGCGAUCAAGACCCUCCAGCAACUCUUGAAGAGGGCUACGGUGAAUGGCACCACGUCGACGACCUCCAUGGACGCGGCCGCGGACAGCGCAGCUGCCAUGGAAUACCUCGCCGACUUUUCCUAUGGCCUGACGCCCGGCGAGGCGCGUUAUAUUGUGUACCGGUUCCUCAAGGCUAAUGGGAUGAACAUACCACGGGCUCUCGAGCAAAUGAUGCGGUCCGCCGAGCGGCGCAGGAAGCAGAACCUCAACAAUAUGGCGCUGUUUCCGUGUAUUAUUCCCAUGAGCGGAUUUAAUGAGCAGACGGUAUGCUAUAAGCUACGGCUCCCUUUCAUUAGCAACAUCUCCGGCAAGCGCUACCUGGACGCCGAGGGUCGACUUCGACUGGAGCAUGAGCAGUUGGACCACUGCAACGCGCAUUACGAGGAUCCCUACACCAGUUUCAUGACGACUGACGUGACGGCCGACUCAAGGCAACCAAGCCCAGACAGCAGCGACUGCCUAUCUUCACGACCCGCCAUGAGCGCGCCUCAAGUGGCCUCCUCCUCGCCGAUACCCCCGGUCGGUCCUGCAAACUGGAAGGCGACCCUUGAGGGGGAUGGCAGUGCAGAAUGGAAGCGAGACGCCGAGUCGCAGAGGAACUCCCUCUCGCCGAAGGGGCACCGGCGCAGGAGCGAUGAGAACAAAAGCAGCGGAGCCAGGUGGCGCUCCUUCAUUUCCCUCAUUCCUUUUCUCCGUCAUCAAGGCACCGGCUGCCUGCCAAAUGCGUCAGCCUCGCACCUGCGGAACAUGUCGACCGUUACAUCCGAAACAAGGAGGCACACAGGCUUCCACUCCAUCCUAUCCACGUGCAGCGGCAGCGAUUGCGGGAACAGCGGCGCGCGCGAGCAGAACUAUGAGACACCGGAGAUGGAAGAGGAGGAGAAACUCCUCAACGCGGCGGGUGUGGCAGUGCCGUUGACGGCAACACCCAGCACCCUUUACGCCGACUGUCUCAAUUUCCACGGGCUCUUGGAGCCGAUCGUUGCAGUCAUUACAAAGCACGCGCCAUUUGCAUUCCACUACUGGGACCUUGAGGGGCGUCCUGUCAUGUACUGCCGCCUUGGCAGAAUGCACUCGAAGAAGCUGAUGCAGGAGCUGUUUGCGCUGACCCCGAUCGAUGCCGAGCCGCGCGCACUGGCGUUGCUGUUUAACACGUACGCUCUACUAGUGCUGGAGCAGCUGAUCCGCUUCUGCAACCGCCGAAACCGUGAGGGCGACGAGAUUCGCGAUGACCUGCUGCCGCAGUCGCAGCUCGGGAGUACACAACGCCAGCAGGGUGAGCCAUGCCCAACCACCACCACCGGCGCCAUGCUUCGCAGAAGGCCACUUGUCGGCUCGUGUACUGUUGUCGUCGACUGUGCUGGGCUACAGAUUCGACGAUAUCUGUACAAGCCGCUGCUGCUUAUGGUGCGUUCAAUUGUUCGAAUGAACAUGCGCGACUUCCCUGAGCUGAUGCACCAUGUGUAUGUUACCAACUGCACGAACGCUGUGAGCUUAUCGUACCUGAUGCUGCGCGGCAUACUUUCGAGAGCGACGCGGGAGAAGGUGACGUUUUGUAGUAAGAGCAACACGGCUGCCACGUUGUGCGAGUGCAUCCGCAGCGAUCUGGUACCACAGGAGUUGGGGGGCAAGUGCCAGUGUCCCGGCGGCUGCAUUUCGUCCAUGGAUGCAACGCCGGACGACGUCCACUCCGCGGCGCUCAGCCGCAGCUUCGGUGACGCACCCUCGAGCGUUACAACGCAAUGCGGCGACACUUGCACCGAGCAGGUAACGCAGCGGUUGGGUGGGGAGGGGCUCUUCUUUCACCCUCUCCACUACACUGCCGAGAGGCUUGUGCUCAAGGCGCGAGAGUCGCGCAAGCUGUCUUUUGGAAUGGGCGCGGGGAGCGAAAUCAUUUGGGAAUUCGCGGUGAAGCACAAGCGCGACGUGUUCUUCUCGGCUGUCUUCGUCUCCGCCGGCAACGACGGCGCGAUGCUGUCGCUGGUGCCGCGCCGACGAGUUCAGAAUGAGGCGGGCCACUACAUUUGCCCCUCGAUCGGGGCAGUCAUCUUUGAGUGGAGCAACAAGCACCAUUUCUUUACUCGAUGUCGGCUGAGCUUGAAGGUGUACCGCGAGGAGCGGCCGGUCGGCUCCAUGUGAGAAUGCGGCGCUCGAAGACGCGGCAGCGCGGCACGGACGACUCUCCCAGAAGACCAGGACAAGGACUUUCGGAGACGAGGGGCCGGCGGCGCCGAUUUUGCUGUCGGUGUGGAGGGAUGCGCCGUGUCCUAAACAGCGUGUUGAUUGGUCUCUGGUUGCUGGUGUGAGCAUGCGGAGAGGGCGAGGAGGACUGGAAGGAGGAAUGCCGUUGAGGGAGUGGCUUGCGCUGCCUGCGCACCGCAGUUGGUUCUUUCUCAAAACCCUCCUUCUCUUCUCGCGCUCAAGCGGCUAUGGCUUCCUCCACGCAGAUGGAAGCACGUCGGUCCCUCGCCACCGCUCUGCAUCCAUGAGCUUUCCCAGUCACCGAGGGAAUCGGCGCGCCUGCAAGAGAAAUUCUCGACAGCGUUUUUUUUUGUUUCUUUGUUUUUCGUGUGUCUGUGUGUUUGAAGGAGUCUCCAACAGCUGGCAUGUGCGUGAGUUUGUUCUCCAUGGUGCGCGUGGGUUGAUGAUGGUGCAACAGUCGGGAUUCGGACGCGUGUGAAUGCUUCUAUUCCUUCGCCAGUGUGUGUAUGUGUGCAUGUGAGAGAGACAGUUAGACCGAGGCCAUGAGCGAGGCAGCAUAUUCGUCUACGCCGAUCGGACUUCUGGAAGGGAGGGAGGGAGAGGGAGGUGACGUGUGCAAACAGGCCGCUGGCCACGAUGAGCCACACCCGCUGGAGGAGCGCGGGCCCUUUUGCACGAGGGCACGGAGACUUGUGUGUGUGCGGACGAGAGUGCGGAGCCACCCGUCCUUCCAGCUUCCUGUCGCACCUCCCCGUGGCGCCAGUGGUCCCCCUUCGCGCCCGGUAUGCGGAAUCACGGCUCGACCUGUCCGCGGGAUUUUUGCUGGACUUUAUGCAGCGGGGUGUAGAUGAAGCAUGGUAGCGGAGUCGCGCAGUCAUCGCGGUUACGCGUUGGGUGCAUGGCUGCUGGAGUAGCGGUUGCGGAAAGCAGCGAUGGCGGAAGCGCUACCCAUGUGAAGGUGCACCUCAGCUUCGGCAGACAGGAAAGAAUAAAAAGGCGCCUCCCGUGCGCAGCGCACCGAGCGGUGCUCUGUCGGCCCGCUUCACGCACGCGGCUUCCCAUCCGCCCAAUGUCGCGUCGGCGCAGAGGCCGCAGACAGCACCGGUCGUCGUCGGCGGCCUGCUGCGCCGUCGCGUGCUCGCUGCGGCACACUGGCACCGUUUGCCGACAUCACCCUCGGCGCACACGGGCAGCGCGGCCAGCCAUCGGCCAGCCGUCCAGCGCGGCGUCAGCUCUGCAUCCCUCCGCGGCGAGCCGCCGGCACACCGCUCGCGGCCACAGGAUAAGUCGCCUCUCCAUCAGCCCAUGUCUCUCUCACAAAACGCAGACGACGGAGCCGGCAGCGCUACGGCCGCAAUCGUAGCGUUUCAUUACGGGCGCCGCCCCGUGCGCUGCGAUGCCUUCUGCAGACACCAUCGCAGGGCUUUCUGAGGCUGGCACGUCGCUCGGCCACGCGCGCAGCCCUUGCCACAGCUUCCCCACCCGGCGCCUCCGCUCCGCCGCUGGCACGUAGCGGCGGCGGUAGUGGCCCGUCCGCGACAGAGGCGACACGCCAGCAAGCCAGUCCCUACAUCACGUGCCACAUCCAGCUGCUCGCCGGCCUGGCGGUCCGUGAGGUCCGCCCAGUGGCGCAAAGCAGAGGGAGUGCUUGCCGAGCAGUGCCAUCACGCCCAGCAGCGGGGCUGCCCCCCCUCCCCCUUUCCUUCACUCCCAGGGGGCUUCGGGGACGUGGGCGGUCGAUCCUCGCUGCACGCCCUGCACCGUGCUGAGCUGCCCCUGAUUCGGGUGGGGUGGCAACGACCUCUCGCCCGUUUUUCCCUCUGCACACCCUCCCGCACUCACAAAGCCAGGCAUGCAGUUCUGUCGCCACGCACGGCGCACAAGAAAUGUAGACGGAACGGCGUGUCCCUGCUCGCGUUCAACCAUCAGGUCCGUAGGCCCCAUGGCCCGCUCGUCCCCUGGAACGGGCGCUGCCGACGGGAAGCCCGCGCGAAACCAGCUUCCAAAUGAGGAGGCAGUCAAAGGCCCUCUUCAAGGCCAGCGCAGUGUCGCGGCUCUCUGGUGAUUUCAUGUCGCGCCCGUUGAGUGCGACGCCGUAGAUCGUCGAGAAGACGACGAGACGACGGUCUGCUUCAUGCACCAGCCUGGGCAACACGGGGUGGUUCUGACGAUUUGGAUAAGGUGCGCCUUCAGCAGAGGCCCACGCCACGUCGCGCUGCAGCAAAUGGCGCCUGGGGGCGGCAGUCCCUUCCUGCCCAGCCCAAAGUGGGCUCUCCGGGCCAGGGAUCACUGGGCGGCGUUGGCAUCCCCACGGCACCAGGGCGCACGGUGUCGACGGAUUGGAGCUGGGAGCCGUACGCAGCCGAAGGCGCCGCGGUUGCUUGCGCCGCGGCCUGCGCUGCAUCCGUCCGCUCGGCCGUCGAUGCCGCUACCAGAAUGAGCCGGCACACGCUGUGUCUGCCCUGAAGAGAUGCCUUGCGUGCAUUCCACAGGUCCAGCACGGAGGAGGGGAGACGGAAGAGCGGCCGCGGAUCCUCCUCCGUGGGGUGUGUCGGUCCGCGAUGGGUCUCCUCAGAGACGGCGUCAUCCAUAUCCUCCCAGACCCGCCGCCACUCGUCCCACUGCCCCACCCGCUUCGUCUCCCGGCAGCGGGCGCGGGCGGCUGUCCGUGAAUCGGCUUACAGCCGCCUCGAGGCGAUGGAUGCACUCCUCCGACACCUGCACUCCCUCCCUCAGCAGCAUGAGUGAUCGAGCCAUCCGCAGUCAGAAUCCCCACGCGCGCAGGGCGCCCGCCUUUCCACGGUUUUCGGUGCUCAUUGGACGCCCACGGGUGGCCGGCGUCAGCCGCCAGGAGCCCCGCAAAUCUGAGGCGGCGCGAGGCGCGGCCAUGGACGAGAAUCCCCAUGUGCAGCUGCUUUUCCGCCAUCAGCCCAUCGCAAGUUGACGAAAGCACCCCCCUCCCUCCUGUCCAGUCUCACUACCAUGAACACCACAGCUGCACACACAAUAUUCCUCUAUGACAUAGUUCCUAUCUUGUUUGAGAAAGAUUGAUAUGGAGCUGCUAUCAGGCGGAAUGUGCCAACGAUGACCUCAGACGCGUGUCCCUCUUUCUUUUCUUCAGCAGGAAGUGGUUCACACUCGUUUGCUGGCUGCGGAAGCAGAUCCGAGGGCACUGGGAAGAGCAAGAGAGGAUGAGAGAGGGACAGGGAACGGGAGAGUUCGCCGUUCAGCUUUCACGAAAGCACGCCUUAAAGAUGAAGUUUAUAUUUCCACGUUUUCUGCUUUUGGUUUUGGUUUUUGAGUUUGCGUGCUUCUUCUCCUGCAGCUGUUUCUAUGCAGAAAUACUCUCAGAUGUUUUCUGUCCGUCUGUGUUUUUCUCUCCCCUAGACACACACACACACACACACACACACACACACGAACCGCUUCUGUGCUCCGCUAUGUGGCCAGGCGUGAGUCUUUUCUCCUUUUCUACUCAUAUUCAUGUACAGUGUUGUGCCUGCGCACGUAUUCCCUAUCGUCGGCGCGCUCUGUGAUUAUCUCAUGAGAAUAUAUCGGUAUCGUUUCCAUGUAUGCUCGUUGGUUUACAAAAGAAAAGUUUUGUUAUGCUUUUGGAGUCCUGUCAGAAUUUAUUCCAUGUUUGUCAUUGACGGGGGCCUCGCUAUACUCCGUGACUCCUGGUCCUUCGCUCAUCUCUUUUUUUUUGGUUUGUCUCUGCGGCAGGGUGGUAAGGUCACAAAGACGAGGCCAGCCUGUACUUCUCUUCAAAGUCUUCUUGUCGUGACUUCGCUGCACGCGUGUGGUUGGACCAUGGAGAACGUCGUUGUCCUUCCGACCACGAGUCAGCAUUGCCGUAUCUCUCUCUCUGUGCCGGCGUGUGCCAUUAUUGCUGCUAUCCAGAUGCCGGUCAUCUGUUUCGGGUCUUCUCUUGUUGCGUUGUGCUACUCUUCGAAUUUUCCUCAAGCUCUUCCCCUCUCCCCUUCGCACGUGUAGUGUACGAGCACAAGGAGAUCAAGAGUAGAUUUUUUUCCUUGGAACUGCGCCUGUUUUGCUCGCGCGGCUACCGCCUCUCCCUCUUUUAGCUCUGCGUGUCUUAGGUCGCGGUGUAUCGCAGUUUUAUGAGUGCUUGAUCUGUUUUAUGUUUUUUUUUUUGCUUUCGGGUACUCUGGCCCGUCCUCUGCCUGCCGUGCAAGCACCCCUCCCUUCCUCCCACACACACACACACACAAGCCCUCCUGCUCCUUCAUUUCUUUUGGCUAGUCAUCCGCCUCUUUCCUCGAGCAGCACGAUACCCUUCCCCCUCCACACUCGAAUGUACAUCCGCUUCGCGUCGCAACACUCUCUCGCCCAUCUCUACCUUGACCUUUUUGUUUCCUUCACAGCGGGCCUACUCACAGAAAAGAAAACGAAAACGACGGGUGGUGUUUACGCGCAUGAAUCUGGGUGUGUUUGCGCCUCGGUCGUGUGUGUUUGUGUGUCCUCGCCGAGCCUGCGCCAGCCUUGAAGGACGGCGUUGUCUUGUGCCACGUCGCGUAUUGCCCCGCUUGCUUUUUUGAGUGCUUGUUUCGUUUCGCACAGUGUCUUCAGCAGUUUUGCGGUGGCUGUGAUAGAAAACGUUUGUGUGCUCAUCUACAUGUCUGCUAGUUCCUGCCGCGGCGCUUUCCGGCUCGAAGACGCUCUUGCUCUCUCAUGGCCACAUACGAGUAACGCAUUUUUUUUAUUUUGAUCUACACAGUGGAUGUGAUCUUUCCCUGGUCGAACGCAUAGAAGCGGCGGAUAAAA
rnacentral:misc_RNA from 1 species